CCUACGGGAGGCAGCAGUGAGGAAUAUUGGUCAAUGGACGAGAGUCUGAACCAGCCAAGUAGCGUGAAGGAUGACUGCCCUAUGGGUUGUAAACUUCUUUUAUAUGGGAAUAAAACGUUCCACGUGUGGGAUUUUGUAUGUACCAUAUGAAUAAGGAUCGGCUAACUCCGUGCCAGCAGCCGCGGUAAUACGGAGGAUCCGAGCGUUAUCCGGAUUUAUUGGGUUUAAAGGGAGCGUAGGUGGAUUGUUAAGUCAGUUGUGAAAGUUUGCGGCUCAACCGUAAAAUUGCAGUUGAUACUGGCAGUCUUGAGUACAGUAGAGGUGGGCGGAAUUCGUGGUGUAGCGGUGAAAUGCUUAGAGAUCACGAAGAACUCCGAUUGCGAAGGCAGUUCACUGGACUGCAACUGACACUGAGGCUCGAAAGUGUGGGUAUCAAACAGGAUUAGAUACCCCUGUAGUC
rnacentral:rRNA from 1 species